AACGAACGCUGGCGGCAUGCCUAACACAUGCAAGUCGAACGAUCCCUUCGGGGAUAGUGGCGCACGGGUGCGUAACGCGUGGGAACCUGCCCUUAGGUUCGGAAUAACUCAGAGAAAUUUGAGCUAAUACCGGAUAAUGUCUUCGGACCAAAGAUUUAUCGCCUUUGGAUGGGCCCGCGUUGGAUUAGCUAGUUGGUGGGGUAAAGGCCUACCAAGGCGACGGUCCAUAGCUGGUCUGAGAGGAUGAUCAGCCACACUGGGACUGAGACACGGCCCAGACUCCUACGGGAGGCAGCAGUGGGGAAUAUUGGACAAUGGGCGAAAGCCUGAUCCAGCAAUGCCGCGUGAGUGAUGAAGGCCUUAGGGUUGUAAAGCUCUUUUACCCGGGAUGAUAAUGACAGUACCGGGAGAAUAAGCCCCGGCUAACUCCGUG
rnacentral:rRNA from 1 species